UGCGUAGGUGGGCCUGUAAGUCAGCGGUGAAAUCUCCGGGCUUAACCCGGAAACUGCCAUUGAUACUAUAGGUCUUGAAUUAUCUGGAGGUAAGCGGAAUAUGUCAUGUAGCGGUGAAAUGCUUAGAUAUGACAUAGAACACCAAUUGCGAAGGCAGCUUACUACGGAUCGAUUGACACUGAGGCACGAAAGCGUGGGGAUCAAACAGGAUUAGAUACCCUGGUAGUCCACGCCCUAAACUAUGGAUACUCGACAUUUGUGAUAUACUAUAAGUGUCUGAGCGAAAGCAUUAAGUAUCCCACCUGGGAAGUACGACCGCAAGGUUGAA
rnacentral:rRNA from 1 species